rnacentral:rRNA from 1 species
UACGUAGGGGGCAAGCGUUGUCCGGAAUCAUUGGGCGUAAAGAGCGUGUAGGCGGCCAGAUAAGUCCGCUGUGAAAUCUCGAGGCUCAACUUCGAGCUGUCGGUGGAAACUGUCUGGCUAGAGUCCGGAAGAGGAGAAUGGAAUUCCUGGUGUAGCGGUGAAAUCCGCAGAUAUCAGGAAGAACACCCGUGGCGAAGGCGGUUCUCUGGGACGGUACUGACGCUGAGACGCGAAAGCGUGGGGAGCGAACAGG